rnacentral:rRNA from 1 species
UACGGAGGGUGCAAGCGUUAUCCGGAUUCACUGGGUUUAAAGGGUGCGUAGGUGGGUUGGUAAGUCAGUGGUGAAAUCUCCGAGCUUAACUCGGAAAGGUCAACUGAUACUGUGCGACUAGAGUGCGGAAGGGGCAACUGGAAUUCUCGGUGUAGCGGUGAAAUGCGUAGAUAUCGAGAGGAACACCUGCGGCGAAGGCGGGUUGCUGGGCCGACACUGACGCUGAGGCGCGAAAGCCAGGGGAGCGAACGGG